rnacentral:tRNA from 1 species
GCCCGCCUAGCUCAAUCGGAUAGAGCGUCAGACUCUUAGGCAGGUUGAUCUGAAGGCUGCGAGUUCGACCCUCGCGGUGGGCU